rnacentral:rRNA from 1 species
UACGUAGGGACCAAGCGUUGUUCGGAUUUACUGGGCGUAAAGGGCGCGUAGGCGGCGUGGUAAGUCACUUGUGAAAUCUCUGAGCUUAACUCAGAACGGUCAAGUGAUACUGCUGUGCUAGAGUGCAGAAGGGGCAAUCGGAAGUUCUUGGUGUAGCGGUGAAAUGCGCAGAUAUCAGGAGGAACACCGAUGGCGAAGGCAGCUCGCUGGGACGGUACUGACGCGUGAGGCGACGAAAGCGUGGGGGAGCAAACAGG